AAGAUUUCCGUAGGUGAACCUGCGGAAGGAUCAUUGAUAAGAUAUGGAAUUGUGAUUGACCGUGCAAGUGUGCGCAAGUAAUCGUCGAUGUCGAAGCUGAUGCACGGUUGCAAUAUCUGCUUCCGGUGACACGGUGCCGAUUCUCGAUGCGGCUUGGUUUUGGCGUCAUCCCAAAGGUGUUUAUACCCAGCGGGAUAGCUGACCACCGAAAGUUUUUAUAGGGCGUAGAUUGCGCCAAGGAAAAUAUAUAUAGGGCGGCAUCGUUAAUCUGGUAUCGAUUGUUGCCCUAGUGAUGUACGUAAGUGCACCUUUAGAAACGACUCACGGCAACGGAUAUCUUGGUUCUCGCAUCGAUGAAGAACGUAGCGAAAUGCGAUAUGUGAUGUGAAUUGCAGAAUCCCGUGAACCAUCGAAUCUUUGAACGCAAGUUGCGCCUGAGGUGUUUCUGCCGAUGGCACGCCUGUCUGGGUGUUGCAAAUUACGUCGUUCCAAUUCCUUGGUUUCGGAUGGAACGGAGAUUGGCCUUCCGUUGGGAUACCGGCGGAUGGACUUAGUGUCUGUUGCCCAAUGAUGUGACAUUAUACGUGCGUUUGAUGUUGGUUUCUCCAACUUCUCACUGCGGGUUGUUGUGUAGCUUCCUUGGGUUUUCCUAAAGUAUUGCGGCAAUGGAGAUGUUGUCCGUAUGCGUUGCCCCAGUUCAGGCGAGAUCACCCGCCGAAUUUAAGCAUAUCAU
rnacentral:rRNA from 1 species